rnacentral:rRNA from 1 species
AUUGAACGCUGGCGGCAGGCCUAACACAUGCAAGUCGAGCGGCAGCGGGAAAGUAGCUUGCUACUUUUGCCGGCGAGCGGCGGACGGGUGAGUAAUGCCUGGGAAAUUGCCCAGUCGAGGGGGAUAACAGUUGGAAACGACUGCUAAUACCGCAUACGCCCUACGGGGGAAAGCAGGGGACCUUCGGGCCUUGCGCGAUUGGAUAUGCCCAGGUGGGAUUAGUUAGUUGGUGAGGUAAUGGCUCACCAAGGCGACGAUCCCUAGCUGGUCUGAGAGGAUGAGCAGCCACACUGGAACUGAGACACGGUCCAGAGUCCUACGGGAGGCAGCAGUGGGGAAUAUUGCACAAUGGGGGAAACCCUGAUGCAGCCAUGCCGCGUGUGUGAAGAAGGCCUUCGGGUUGUAAAGCACUUUCAGCGAGGAGGAAAGGUUGAUGCCUAAUACGUAUCAACUGUGACGUUACUCGCAGAAGAAGCACCGGCUAACUCCGUGCCAGCCGCCGCCGUAAGAC